UUUCCCCAUUUGCGCCGGCUCUGCGUCCAUGGCCGCGAGGCCGCGAGGAGUUGAAGCUGCGGGGGGUUUUCAAGAAGAGUCCUCUUUCCGUGUUUCUCCGCAUUUUCUUUUUGAUGGGGCGUCGAAGAAGUUGUGGGGUUUCGAUUCUUUCUUCCAUUAGCAUGUUUACUCCCCAGAGGAAGGCAUACCCGGCGCUCUCGCUGCCGCCGCGAGGAGCGGUGGAGUAGUUAGUUUACCUUAGCUAAAUGGCUAUUUGAUUAUUAGUAUAAUAUGGGGCUGCUUCUGAUCUACAAAAAAGGAGUGGAAUCGAAGUUUGAAGAGUUAGGUCAAGCAUCAUCAGAAGCACAACAGCUCCUCCAACAAGAACGAUCAGCCCAUCUGAUUCAAUGUCUGAAGCUGAGAAGAAAGAGGAAAAUCUGAGGAAAGCCUUGGCUUUUGAAAGGCAAUGCGUGGCAGAUGUAUGCUACCUCUUGCUGAUGGUCUUGCAAUUUGAAUUUUCUCUUAUUUGAAUGCUCUAGAUUUUGCAUUGCAUUUUAACUGUCUUAUAUUUUGGAAAUAGAGUCAACUAAUGACAGGCUGUCUACUGAAUUUGUGUUGCUUAAAUUUCAUUCAUGCGCACGAGGGAUUGCUAAAUCAGAUCAUUUAAAGGUAACGCAAACUCAAUUGCAAGAUGAUUCUUCUAUGAUCUGGCAUAAUGACCAUACUCCCGGUGGAGAACUCUUGCUGGAGCACUAGUUUGAUUCCCAUUGCCAAAUCAUGUGUUGCUAUUCAUGUUAGAUUUCUGGAGACAUAAGAUCUGAGGAAAGCCUUGGCUUUUGAAAGGCAAUAUGUGGCAGGUGUAUGCUACUUCUUGCUGAUAGUCUUGCAAUUUGAACUUUCGGUUAUUAGAAUGCUGUAGAUUUUACGUUGUGUAUAUUUUCACUGUCUUCUAUUUUGGAAAAACAGUCAACUAAUGACAAACUGUUUGCUGAAUUUGUGUUGCGCAAACUUCAUUCAUGGGCACUAGGGAUUGCUAAAUUGCAUAGUUGAAAGCUUGAGAAGGCUCUGCACGAAACAUAUAAUGAGCAAGACCAAAUAAAGCUUGAUUCUGGGAAGAAGUUGGCUCAAGCAAGUGCUUUGACUAUUGGAAUUGAGGAUAGGUCAUUGGAGGUGAAAGAGAAGCUGCAUGACGUUGAUGCCAAGCUUGCCGAGGUCAGCAGAAAAAGUUCGCAAUUGGACUUGAAGAUGCAAAAGAUGGAGGCAUGCGAAAGUGUACUUUAAAGGGAGCGUUUGUGUUUGAAAACUGAGUAUGCUCUUUUCAACUUGUGCAUCUUUAUGCAUCAUGCAUGAUUGUGUUGUUUACAUUGCCAUAGCUGUAAGAAGUUUUUAACAAGUGAUGUUGUAAAUCUGCCCUUUUAUGGCUGGCAGGAAGCGCACAAGGCCA